UGGACCAAUGGUGAGAGAGUAUUGUGAACCAAGGAUUAUGAAUAAUCCAAUUCUGUGCAAUUGAGGUCCAUG